rnacentral:rRNA from 1 species
AGAGUUUGAUCCUGGCUCAGAACAAACGCUGGCGGCGUGCCUAACACAUGCAAGUCGUACGAGAAAGGGUCUUUCGGGAUCUGAGUAAAGUGGCGCACGGGUGAGUAACGCGUGGAUAAUCUGCCCUUCAGUUGGGAAUAACUCAUCGAAAGGUGGGCUAAUACCGAAUAACGCUGUGAGACUUUGGUCGAUCAGCCAAAGAGAUCCUCUGCUUGCAUGCCCUCGCUGAAGGAUGAGUCCGCGUACCAUUAGCUAGUUGGUAGGGUAAUGGCCUACCAAGGCGACGAUGGUUAGCUGGUCUGAGAGGAUGAUCAGCCACACUGGAACUGAGACACGGUCCAGACUCCUACGGGGGGCAGCAGUGAGGAAUCUUGCGCAAUGGGGGCAACCCUGACGCAGCAACGCCGCGUGAGUGAGGAAGGUCUUCGGAUCGUAAAGCUCUGUCGGAUGGAAAGAACCGCAUGGGGGUAAAUAGCCCCUGUGUCUGACGGUACCAUCAAAGGAAGCACCGGCUAACUCCGUGCCAGCAGCCGCGGUAAUAC